rnacentral:rRNA from 1 species
UAGGGAAUCUUCGGCAAUGGACGAAAGUCUGACCGAGCAACGCCGCGUGAGUGAAGAAGGUUUUCGGAUCGUAAAACUCUGUUGUUAGAGAAGAACAAGGACGUUAGUAACUGAACGUCCCCUGACGGUAUCUAACCAGAAAGCCACGGCUAACUACGUGCCAGCAGCCGCGGUAAUACGUAGGUGGCAAGCGUUGUCCGGAUUUAUUGGGCGUAAAGCGCACGCAGGCGGUUUGUUAAGUCAGAUGUGAAAUCCCCGGGCUCAACCUGGGAACUGCAUCUGAUACUGGCAAGCUUGAGUCUCGUAGAGGGGGGUAGAAUUCCAGGUGUAGCGGUGAAAUGCGUAGAGAUCUGGAGGAAUACCGGUGGCGAAGGCGGCCCCCUGGACGAAGACUGACGCUCAGGUGCGAAAGCGUGGGGAGCAAACAGG